GGAACCAUGACUGAAUGGUAAGGUAUCUGUCUACUAAACAGAAGUCGUCCUCUGGGCGCGUAGGUUCGAUUCCUACUGGUUCCGC
rnacentral:tRNA from 1 species